rnacentral:rRNA from 1 species
GGUUAAGCGACUAAGCGUACACGGUGGAUGCCCUGGCAGUCAGAGGCGAUGAAGGGCGUGCUAAUCUGCGAUAAGCGCCGGUAAGGUGAUAUGAACCGUUAUAACCGGCGAUACCCGAAUGGGGAAACCCAGUGUGACUCGUCACACUAUCAUUAACUGAAUCCAUAGGUUAAUGAGGCGAACCGGGGGAACUGAAACAUCUAAGUACCCCGAGGAAAAGAAAUCAACCGAGAUUCCCCCAGUAGCGGCGAGCGAACGGGGAGGAGCCCAGAGCCUGAAUCAGCAUGUGUGUUAGUGGAAGCGUCUGGAAAGGCGCGCGAUACAGGGUGACAGCCCCGUACACAAAAGCGCAUGUGCUGUGAGCUCGAUGAGUAGGGCGGGACACGUGGUAUCCUGUCUGAAUAUGGGGGGACCAUCCUCCAAGGCUAAAUACUCCUGACUGACCGAUAGUGAACCAGUACCGUGAGGGAAAGGCGAAAAGAACCCCGGCGAGGGGAGUGAAAAAGAACCUGAAACCGUGUACGUACAAGCAGUGGGAGCCCCACCACCAAAGCAUUUGCUGUACCGCGUUGACGGAGCGAAGCGACGUCAAACCGAUAAAACAGCAGUGUAAAGUGAGCCGCAGGGCGCUUUGCGCGACAGCGCAAAGGCAGGCGGUUUCGCGUAGCGAAAGCGAAUGCUUUGGGGUGGGGUGACUGCGUACCUUUUGUAUAAUGGGUCAGCGACUUAUAUUCUGUAGCAAGGUUAACCGAAUAGGGGAGCCGGAGGGAAACCGAGUCUUAAUUGGGCGUUAAGUUGCAGGGUAUAGACCCGAAACCCGGUGAUCUAGCCAUGGGCAGGUUGAAGGUUGGGUAACACUAACUGGAGGACCGAACCGACUAAUGUUGAAAAAUUAGCGGAUGACCUGUGGCUGGGGGUGAAAGGCCAAUCAAACCGGGAGAUAGCUGGUUCUCCCCGAAAGCUAUUUAGGUAGCGCCUCGUGAAUUCAUCUCCGGGGGUAGAGCACUGUUUCGGCUAGGGGGCCAUCCCGGCUUACCAACCCGAUGCAAACUGCGAAUACCGGAGAAUGUUAUCACGGGAGACACACGGCGGGUGCUAACGUCCGUCGUGAAGAGGGAAACAACCCAGACCGCCAGCUAAGGUCCCAAAGUCAUGGUUAAGUGGGAAACGAUGUGGGAAGGCCCAGACAGCCAGGAUGUUGGCUUAGAAGCAGCCAUCAUUUAAAGAAAGCGUAAUAGCUCACUGGUCGAGUCGGCCUGCGCGGAAGAUGUAACGGGGCUAAACCAUGCACCGAAGCUGCGGCAGCGACACUGUGUGUUGUUGGGUAGGGGAGCGUUCUGUAAGCCUGUGAAGGUGUGUCGUGAGGCAUGCUGGAGGUAUCAGAAGUGCGAAUGCUGACAUAAGUAACGAUAAAGCGGGUGAAAAGCCCGCUCGCCGGAAGACCAAGGGUUCCUGUCCAACGUUAAUCGGGGCAGGGUGAGUCGACCCCUAAGGCGAGGCCGAAAGGCGUAGUCGAUGGGAAACGGGUUAAUAUUCCCGUACUUGGUGUUACUGCGAAGGGGGGACGGAGAAGGCUAUGUUGGCCGGGCGACGGUUGUCCCGGUUUAAGCGUGUAGGUGUGUGUUCCAGGUAAAUCCGGUUCACUUUAACACUGAGGCGUGACGACGAGGCACUACGGUGCUGAAGCAACAAAUGCCCUGCUUCCAGGAAAAGCCUCUAAGCAUCAGGUAACAUCAAAUCGUACCCCAAACCGACACAGGUGGUCAGGUAGAGAAUACCAAGGCGCUUGAGAGAACUCGGGUGAAGGAACUAGGCAAAAUGGUGCCGUAACUUCGGGAGAAGGCACGCUGACACGUAGGUGAAGUGAUUUACUCAUGGAGCUGAAGUCAGUCGAAGAUACCAGCUGGCUGCAACUGUUUAUUAAAAACACAGCACUGUGCAAACACGAAAGUGGACGUAUACGGUGUGACGCCUGCCCGGUGCCGGAAGGUUAAUUGAUGGGGUCAGCGCAAGCGAAGCUCCUGAUCGAAGCCCCGGUAAACGGCGGCCGUAACUAUAACGGUCCUAAGGUAGCGAAAUUCCUUGUCGGGUAAGUUCCGACCUGCACGAAUGGCGUAAUGAUGGCCAGGCUGUCUCCACCCGAGACUCAGUGAAAUUGAACUCGCUGUGAAGAUGCAGUGUACCCGCGGCAAGACGGAAAGACCCCGUGAACCUUUACUAUAGCUUGACACUGAACAUUGAGCCUUGAUGUGUAGGAUAGGUGGGAGGCUUUGAAGUGUGGACGCCAGUCUGCAUGGAGCCGACCUUGAAAUACCACCCUUUAAUGUUUGAUGUUCUAACGUGGACCCGUUACCCGGGUUGCGGACAGUGUCUGGUGGGUAGUUUGACUGGGGCGGUCUCCUCCUAAAGAGUAACGGAGGAGCACGAAGGUUGGCUAAUCCUGGUCGGACAUCAGGAGGUUAGUGCAAUGGCAUAAGCCAGCUUGACUGCGAGCGUGACGGCGCGAGCAGGUGCGAAAGCAGGUCAUAGUGAUCCGGUGGUUCUGAAUGGAAGGGCCAUCGCUCAACGGAUAAAAGGUACUCCGGGGAUAACAGGCUGAUACCGCCCAAGAGUUCAUAUCGACGGCGGUGUUUGGCACCUCGAUGUCGGCUCAUCACAUCCUGGGGCUGAAGUAGGUCCCAAGGGUAUGGCUGUUCGCCAUUUAAAGUGGUACGCGAGCUGGGUUUAGAACGUCGUGAGACAGUUCGGUCCCUAUCUGCCGUGGGCGCUGGAGAACUGAGGGGGGCUGCUCCUAGUACGAGAGGACCGGAGUGGACGCAUCACUGGUGUUCGGGUUGUCAUGCCAAUGGCACUGCCCGGUAGCUAAAUGCGGAAGAGAUAAGUGCUGAAAGCAUCUAAGCACGAAACUUGCCCCGAGAUGAGUUCUCCCUGAGACUUAAAGUCUCCUGAAGGAACGUUGAAGACGACGACGUUGAUAGGCCGGGUGUGUAAGCGCAGCGAUGCGUUGAGCUAACCGGUACUAAUGAACCGUGAGGCUUAACCUUACAACGCCGAAG